rnacentral:tRNA from 1 species
GUGACUAUGGUAUAAUGGUUAUUACACCUGGUUGUGGUCCAGGUAAUUCGAGUUCAAUUCUCGAUAGUCACCCCA